AGGGAAGCGAGCCUGCGAGGGGGAGCGAAUCCCAAAAAUAACGUCCCAGUUCGGAUUGUAGUCUGCAACCCGACUACAUGAAGCUGGAAUCGCUAGUAAUCGCGGAUCAGAAUGCCGCGGUGAAUACGUUCCCGGGCCUUGUACACACCGCCCGUCACACCAUGAGAGUUGGGAAUACCCGAAGCCUGUGAGCUAACGUUAAGAGGCAGCAGUCGAAGGUAGAAUCAAUGAUUGGGGUGAAGUCGUAACAAGGUACC
rnacentral:rRNA from 1 species